GUACACGCUGUGACUAGCAUAUCAAUAAGCGGAGGAAAAGAAACUAACAAGGAUUCCCCUAGUAACGGCGAGUGAAGCGGGAAGAGCUCAAAUUUGAAAUCUUAAAGGGUUUCCCUUUACGAAUUGUAGUUUAAAGAAGUGUCUUCUGUUGAGGUUUUGGUAAAAGUUCUUUGGAAUAGGACAUCAUAGAGGGUGAGAAUCCCGUAUUUGACCUUUACUUUCAACUUUGUGAUACACUUUCAGGAGUCGGAUUGUUUGGGAAUGCAGUCCAAAAUGGGUGGUAAAUUUCAUCUAAAGCUAAAUAUUGGCGAGAGACCGAUAGCGAACAAGUACCGUGAGGGAAAGAUGAAAAGAACUUUGAAAAGAGAGUUAAACAGUACGUGAAAUUGUCAAAAGGGAAGCGUUUGACACCAGUGUUGUUUUUCUGAAAAUCAAUUAAAGAACUGUUUAUGCUAAGCUGUUUAGACUUUAUCAGCUAAUCUGUUUAGUUUUGAGCUUUUCUUUAAUGCACUUUUCAGUUAACAAGUCAACAUCAAUUUCUUUUGCUGUAAAAAAGCUUGAGGAAGGUGGCUUGAGAUUCGUCUUAAGUGUUUAUAGCCUCUUGCCUAUGCAGUCGGAGAGAUUGAGGUCCUGCAGCGUAGAUCCUUCGGGGUUAAAUGCAUUUGUGCUAAGUUAUAGCAUUUUAUAGACAACUUGUUGACUAUGAUUUGUCUUGUAGCUUACUCGCUUAUGUUAUUUUACCUACGCUUAGGAUGUUGAAGAUGUAGCACAUCAU
rnacentral:rRNA from 1 species